GGUUAAGCGACUAAGCGUACACGGUGGAUGCCCUGGCAGUCAGAGGCGAUGAAGGACGUGCUAAUCUGCGAUAAGCGCCGGUAAGGUGAUAUGAACCGUUAUAACCGGCGAUUUCCGAAUGGGGAAACCCAGUGUGAUUCGUCACACUAUCAUUACGUGAAUACAUAGCGUAAUGAAGCGAACCGGGGGAACUGAAACAUCUAAGUACCCCGAGGAAAAGAAAUCAACCGAGAUUCCCCCAGUAGCGGCGAGCGAACGGGGAGGAGCCCAGAGCCUGAAUCAGCAUGUGUGUUAGUGGAAGCGUCUGGAAAGGCGCGCGAUACAGGGUGACAGCCCCGUACACAAAAGCGCAUGUGUUGUGAGCUCGAUGAGUAGGGCGGGACACGUGGUAUCCUGUCUGAAUAUGGGGGGACCAUCCUCCAAGGCUAAAUACUCCUGACUGACCGAUAGUGAACCAGUACCGUGAGGGAAAGGCGAAAAGAACCCCGGCGAGGGGAGUGAAAAAGAACCUGAAACCGUGUACGUACAAGCAGUGGGAGCACAGGUUUACCUGUGUGACUGCGUACCUUUUGUAUAAUGGGUCAGCGACUUAUAUUCUGUAGCAAGGUUAACCGUAUAGGGGAGCCGGAGGGAAACCGAGUCUUAAUUGGGCGUUAAGUUGCAGGGUAUAGACCCGAAACCCGGUGAUCUAGCCAUGGGCAGGUUGAAGGUUGGGUAACACUAACUGGAGGACCGAACCGACUAAUGUUGAAAAAUUAGCGGAUGACCUGUGGCUGGGGGUGAAAGGCCAAUCAAACCGGGAGAUAGCUGGUUCUCCCCGAAAGCUAUUUAGGUAGCGCCUCGUGAAUUCAUCUCCGGGGGUAGAGCACUGUUUCGGCUAGGGGGUCAUCCCGACUUACCAACCCGAUGCAAACUGCGAAUACCGGAGAAUGUUAUCACGGGAGACACACGGCGGGUGCUAACGUCCGUCGUGAAGAGGGAAACAACCCAGACCGCCAGCUAAGGUCCCAAAGUCAUGGUUAAGUGGGAAACGAUGUGGGAAGGCCCAGACAGCCAGGAUGUUGGCUUAGAAGCAGCCAUCAUUUAAAGAAAGCGUAAUAGCUCACUGGUCGAGUCGGCCUGCGCGGAAGAUGUAACGGGGCUAAACCAUGCACCGAAGCUGCGGCAGCGAACGUAUCACUUAAAGCGAUUCAGCGGGUUACGAUUGACGGAGCGAAGCGACGUCAAAGCGUAUACAAAGUCGAGUCGGUUUAAGGAUACGUU
rnacentral:rRNA from 1 species